UUUUUUUUUUUUUUUAUAAAUAGGCCUAUUAAUAUUAGCCAUAGCCCAUUUAGGUCAUAUGCUUGCCUGAUUGCAAGCAUACAGAAGAGACAAACCGAACCCAAUUCUCUUUGGAGUUGUGAGUUACACAGCUCGACACCAAGUUGUGGUCUGCUCGCUGUUGGCAAGUCUUCGAGGUCAACCUCAGCCCUUCGCCACUACCUCCUGCCACUAUAUGAGCCUUUCUUCUUCUUCCCCUUUUUUUUAUUGCUUUUGUUUUUUUGUUUUUAUUUCAUGCUAUGAAUUAAAAUGAAUAUUAAUAUGCAUAAAUAGUUAAGAUUUAAGAGGGUGUGAUGAUAAUGGGGAGAAGCAUAAAUAAUUUACCUGUUUUAGCGGUAAAAGGAGGAAAACUAAGUAUUGGAUUUUGUGGUUUAGCCUUAAAGGAUAUCAGAGUUUUUAAAAGGAACUCGUGGGAGUUUUUGCUUAUUUUGUAUGCUUAAUUGCUUAUUUUAACUCGAUAAGAGUGCAGGCAGAAAAAAGAAUUUCUAGUAGGAUGAAGGGGUUUGACAGGUCAUACCAUUUUAAAUGAGUUUUAAACAUGCUUGGAUUUUAAUCAGUAUAAUCAUGUCAAAAUUUAACCUACCUAAUCUUGUUGACAUUGAACUCCUAAAGUAGUUCUUUUACAUUAUAUUGUAGUUUGGAUUUUGGAAUCUUUCGAACUUGGAGAAUAUUAAAAAAUCACUUAGCCGAUGCAUAAAAUUGUGCCCGCACUGGACAAGAUCUCUGGCUCCGUCCCUGGAUGGUUCAUAUGUAAAAUUAUAAGAACCCUGAACAUAUCGAACAAAAUCGAUUUGCUCAAUUAUAUUUAGCUCUAAGUGUAAAUCUUUAUAAAAUUAUCAUUCUAAGACUAAAAUGGGAAUGACACUAGUUUGUAUCGUCCAAACCGGUUGCCAGGGAAUGAGCAGAGAGUAAAUGAGGUUGUAGAUGCUUCUAUCCUCUCUUGAAUAUCCUUUUCGAAGAACGGCUAAUAAGCCUUGAAUGGUAACACCAUGGGUGUAGGGAGGGGAUAGGUCAGCCUGCCUUCAAGCCCAUUAAAUUUUAAGGAAAUAAGUGGAAAUGACUCUUUGACUAACCCUUAUUUCCAUGUUGGCCCUUGACCAAUAUUUCAAAAAAACAAAAAAAGUGAAAAAAAUGUUUUAGAUAAAUAAAUGGACAAACCUCCAUAUUUGCCCUCAUCUUCUACAAGCAAGCAAGAGAGGGGGAGAGAGAGAAGAGGGAAAAAAUCGAAAAAAGAAAAGAAAAAUUCAAAAAUCACACAGACGACUGUCUAGAUCGCAUCUGGUCGAGCCUCAGCAUCAACACCACCAUAUUUCUUAGAACAAGGAUGGAUUAUCAUUUUAACGUAGAGUUGAGACGGAUGCCAGGCAAUGCUACGUGAAAUAGUAGCUUUGACAGUUUCACUACUAUACUGGAGCUGCUCGAUGAUUAGUAUGUAGAUAUACUAUGCUAGUGUGGCCCCUGUACCAGUUAAGAGAUGUGCAGUACUCGAGUCAAAUCAUCGAUGCACUUCUAUGUUGGUUACUGAGUCCAAUCGAUAGUGAUGCCCUCCAUUUCGACCUCAAGGGCAAAGUCUCCAAUUUUUCCAUGUUUGAGUUUGCCCUGAUCACUUGACUGAAGAUUACGGAUGAUGACACAGCUAGUGACGGGACUCAAAGAAGAAAUAGGCUGCAGGACGCUUACUUCCACCGACAAGGGAUGGUGGUUCUGACUCAGCUGAUCAAUGCAAUCAUAAGGUGUGAGCAGAUGUUAGACAGACUAAAGUUAGGUCUGGUCUACAUUCUUAAGAGUGUGGUGCAGUGUCAUCACAAGAAGAUUGCAAUCGAGCCCAUUAAAUCCUCUGUCGAGGCUAUUAAAUCCUAGUCAAUUUAGUAUAGCCUUCCUUUGCCGAGCCCAUUAAAUCUUCCAACAUGCAUACUUUAGCCUUCUAGGCCUUCUAGUACCUCAUGACUACUCCGUACUCUCAGCGAACGUCGUUAAUGAUGCUCGAUGGUUCGUAGAUCGUCCGUGAAUUCUGAUACUUAUGCAUUAUCUGUCAACCAAUAAACCAAGCUCGGGUUUGCCUGUGAUUAUUUUGACGAACUCCCACUUCACAAGUAUGUUUUCAUGUAUAUUUGCAAACUACAAAGCACUCAUUUGUAUCCAUCUUCGUUGUUCGCAAACGCCAACGGCAACUAUCAUCUACGUCGUCGAUCAUCAACAACGACUUAUUCGAUUUUUUCACUUUGAAUUCAAAAGUUGUAUUUUAGUACAAUUAAGUGCAUAGCUUUCUGCAAAUCUUUCUUCGUUUCAAAUAGUUGCUCGACAUACAAAUUAUCGCUAUCAGAAACCACACGCGAGGAGUUAGAUGGAUGGUCCACUCUAUCCAACCCUUGAGGUCUGAUCCCGCUCAUGUCUCUGCCUAAAUAAAGCAAUCAAUCCUCAUUUGUAAAAGUAUUUAUAUUUUCAUUCUCGUCGUCGUGAACUACGGAUGGAAUUCUGUGCGCAACUAAUUCUAGAAUAAACACAUCAUCUCCACGAGCUAUCUCUACCGUAUCCUAAAAAUCAUUAGCAUUGUGAUCCCCUCCAUCCGAGUCUACUUGUUCAUUUUCGACGACAUCCUUCCUUACUAAAGUCACACAAAAAGGAGUGUGUGCUUAUUGUUCAAUUCAAACGGAUAAUUCACUUCAGCAUCCGAAGAAAUCGUCAUAGGUGGAAUCGGAGUAUCUGCUUGUUCGCUGAAUUUAAAUUUCAAUUCCAUGUCAUAUUAAGAAGGAUCAACAUUCAGCUUGUUCUGUAAAUCAUAAUAGAGUUCUGUAUAUGAUGUACUUGAUGUUAUGGAAAUCGGUAUACCAUUACGAUUA